AAAUUGAAGAGUUUGAUCAUGGCUCAGAUUGAACGCUGGCGGCAGGCCUAACACAUGCAAGUCGAACGGUAGCACAGAGAGCUUGCUCUCGGGUGACGAGUGGCGGACGGGUGAGUAAUGUCUGGGAAACUGCCCGAUGGAGGGGGAUAACUACUGGAAACGGUAGCUAAUACCGCAUAACGUCGCAAGACCAAAGUGGGGGACCUUCGGGCCUCACACCAUCGGAUGUGCCCAGAUGGGAUUAGCUAGUAGGUGGGGUAACGGCUCACCUAGGCGACGAUCCCUAGCUGGUCUGAGAGGAUGACCAGCCACACUGGAACUGAGACACGGUCCAGACUCCUACGGGAGGCAGCAGUGGGGAAUAUUGCACAAUGGGCGCAAGCCUGAUGCAGCCAUGCCGCGUGUAUGAAGAAGGCCUUCGGGUUGUAAAGUACUUUCAGCGAGGAGGAAGGCGUUGUGGUUAAUAACCACAGCGAUUGACGUUACUCGCAGAAGAAGCACCGGCUAACUCCGUGCCAGCAGCCGCGGUAAUACGGAGGGUGCAAGCGUUAAUCGGAAUUACUGGGCGUAAAGCGCACGCAGGCGGUUUGUUAAGUCAGAUGUGAAAUCCCCGGGCUCAACCUGGGAACUGCAUUUGAAACUGGCAAGCUUGAGUCUCGUAGAGGGGGGUAGAAUUCCAGGUGUAGCGGUGAAAUGCGUAGAGAUCUGGAGGAAUACCGGUGGCGAAGGCGGCCCCCUGGACAAAGACUGACGCUCAGGUGCGAAAGCGUGGGGAGCAAACAGGAUUAGAUACCCUGGUAGUCCACGCCGUAAACGAUGUCUACUUGGAGGUUGUGCCCUUGAGGCGUGGCUUCCGGAGCUAACGCGUUAAGUAGACCGCCUGGGGAGUACGGCCGCAAGGUUAAAACUCAAAUGAAUUGACGGGGGCCCGCACAAGCGGUGGAGCAUGUGGUUUAAUUCGAUGCAACGCGAAGAACCUUACCUGGUCUUGACAUCCACGGAAGUUUUCAGAGAUGAGAAUGUGCCUUCGGGAACCGUGAGACAGGUGC
rnacentral:rRNA from 2 species